AGGAAGGUGGCCCCGGCGGGGCGGGGCGCAUGCGCGGCAGCUCCGCCUGGGGAAGGGCUGAGAGGCGGAGCGGGGCGGCCAGCUGCGCGCGGAGCCGAGCAGGGUCAGGAUGGACGAGGACGUGCUGACCACCCUGAAGAUCCUCAUCAUGGGCGAGAGUGGCGUGGGCAAGUCCAGCCUGCUCUUGAGGUUCACAGAUGAUACUUUUGACCCAGAACUUGCAGCAACAAUAGGUGUUGACUUUAAGGUGAAAACAAUUUCAGUGGAUGGAAAUAAGGCUAAACUUGCAAUAUGGGACACUGCUGGUCAAGAAAGGUUCAGAACAUUAACUCCCAGCUAUUAUAGAGGUGCACAGGGUGUUAUAUUAGUUUAUGAUGUCACGAGAAGAGUCACCUUUGUUAAACUGGAUAAUUGGUUAAAUGAGUUGGAAACAUACUGCACGAGAAAUGAUAUAGUAAACAUGCUAGUUGGAAAUAAAAUUGAUAAGGAAGAUCGUGAAGUUGACAGAAAUGAAGGCCUGAAGUUUGCAUGAAAGCAUUCUAUGUUGUUUAUAGAGGCAAGUGCAAAAACCUGUGAUGGUGUACAGUGUGCUUUUGAGGAACUUGUUGAAAAGAUCAUUCAGACGCCGGGACUGUGGGAAAGUGAGAACCAGAAUAAAGGAGUCAAACUGACACACAGGGAAGAAGGCCAAGGAGGAGGAGCCUGUGGUGGUUACUGUUCUGUGUUAUAGACUCUGGGAAAUUCCAUCUCUUGCAUAUUUGAUCAGAUAGUGUCAUCUUUCUGUAUAUAAACUCUUUAACUGCUAUUUUAGGGUCCUUGCAGUUUGCACAUAUUUGUUUUGUAUCAUGGCAGUAAAUAUUUGCAAGAAAUCCUGCUCAUUGACUUUUCCAGUUACAGCGUUAUGGUAAGCAUGCAGUUUGCAGUCUGCAGUUUUUUAUGUAACAUGAAAUAG